rnacentral:rRNA from 1 species
UACGUAGGGUGAGAGCGUUAAUCGGAAUUACUGGGCGUAAAGCGUGCGCAGGCGGUUUUGUAAGCCAGAUGUGAAAUCCCCGGGCUUAACCUGGGAAUGGCAUUUGGGACUGCAAGGCUUGAGUUUGGCAGAGGAGACUGGAAUUCCUGGUGUAGCAGUGAAAUGCGUAGAUAUCAGGAGGAAUACCGAUGGCGAAGGCAGGUCUCUGGGCUAGAACUGACGCUCAUGCACGAAAGCGUGGGGAGCAAACAGG